UUCAACUUAGUAAGUAAAAAAGUAUUAAAAAGAGAUGCUCUACCAACAAAUGCUGAGGUGCAACCAUAAAAAAGAAAAAAAGAAAAAAAAAAGAUCAUGUAAUAAGGGAAAAAGUGCAACACACACUCUUAAAUAAUUCCAACUUUAUUGGUUAAAAAACAUGUGACGUUUCAGCCAAAGUCAAGGCAUUUCUGCAGACUACAAGAACAAUACUGACACACACUGCUUUAUGCACUCGUAAAAUCAGCAACAGGUGUGCUACUCUACUAAUUGUGGGAGUGGCUUCCUAAAAAAAAAAAGUAAAAGAAAGCGAGAGAAAAAGAGUCCUAUCAAAACAUUUUAACAUUUCAACAUAGUAAUAAUAUUUUGAAACCUAUGAGCCUUUUUAAACAGUUCACUUUCAUAGAAAUCUUCAUCAUUAGGACAGUUAUGACAUGAAGACUGGUCAGGUGUGGAAGCUUUUUUUUCAUUCUGCUGUCAAAGUGUUGAUUCAGACUGCAGGAGACAGUGUGUGAGAGCAGCUGCUUACAUAUGGAGACCUGAGCCGAAAUUCAUCACUACUCUGAAUCAUCACUUGGACUGUGCGCUUGGAUUUAUUUUAUUUUUAAUUUUUUUUUGCCUGAAACUAAAUAAGGAAUGGAAACUAUACUAUGAGGAUGAAAUAUGCCAGUGUUCAGCACAUGUGAAACAUUAAAAACUGAGAUCCCUGUUUUUUACUAGUUUGAAUGAUGAC
ensembl:lncRNA